CGGCCGCCAUGUUAGGAGUACUGGGACGAUUCCGCGGAGCCGGGCAGAGGUUUUAGGGGAAUGAUUAACAAAGGCGUCCGAAGAAAUCGUUGUUGGAAGGUGACCAAGGUGGAAAGAGACGUUGCUUUGGCCCUGCAAGUAAGAAGAGAGAGGGAAUAGCCUGAAGGAGUAACACUAAAUUUAAAAUGACACUUUUUUACCAACCAGCGAAAGCAGAUGUUCAAAGGGGAUAUUGGCCAGAGUCUGUCACACUAAGAUGAGAAAUGUCCUUUCUUCCUGAAGGUGUCUGAUGUGUAAAAAUAUGAUAUACUUUGUGCUGUUUCCUCCCUUCCCUUUUGCAUAUUAUUCUGAAACAACAUUAACUAGUUACUUUGCGUCAUUGAAGGUAUGCACUUCCCCUCUAUGUUAGGAGUGAAUAAAAUUAAAAAUAGAUCCUUAUAACAAAGAAAGGCAGAUAGAAUGAUUAAAAAUGACCAAAACAUGUUAGAAACAGUCUCUCAGGUGUAUGCAGAUGGUAAUUACAAAAAUACUUUUUCAAAAAAUGAUCUUCUGUGUCAUGUUUCUGGGAACAAGUCAAGAUGAAUGAGUUUGAUUUUUAAGCAGAAGUAGUAUGUGUUGGUGUCAUCCAUGAAUACAACAAUGAAAAAGGCUCAAAGUUGUUGUUAUUCAGAAACUUCUCUAAGUAAUGGUGGUAAGUACAGG
rnacentral:lncRNA from 1 species